rnacentral:misc_RNA from 1 species
ACAAAGCUUGAAGUUCGCUCCAACCGCGUCUUCAACAAAUCCAUCCACACCUUGUGCAAUAUUGACAUCGAGGCAAGUUCUUUCGGGAAUUUGCUGGUCUUGUGGGGGGAAAAACCUAAAGGAUAGGCAGCAAUGCUUAACCUUUAAGCCCCCCAAAAGUAUUUAACCUAUACGUUUUUUUGUUGGUCUGAACCUUUUUAUUGAUACAAUAAAAA